AGUGAACGCUGGCGGUAGGCCUAACACAUGCAAGUCGAACGGCAGCACAGAGGAGCUUGCUCCUUGGGUGGCGAGUGGCGGACGGGUGAGGAAUACACCGGAAUCUACUCUGUCGUGGGGGAUAACGUAGGGAAACUUACGCUAAUACCGCAUACGGCCUACGGGUGAAAGCAGGGGAUCUUCGGACCUUGCGCGAUUGAAUUAGCCGAUGUCGGAUUAGCUAGUUGGCGGGGUAAAGGCCCACCAAGGCGACGAUCCGUAGCUGGUCUGAGAGGAUGAUCAGCCACACUGGAACUGAGACACGGUCCAGACUCCUACGGGAGGCAGCAGUGGGGAAUAUUGGACAAUGGGCGCAAGCCUGAUCCAGCCAUACCGCGUGGGUGAAGAAGGCCUUCGGGUUGUAAAGCCCUUUUGUUGGGAAAGAAAUCCAUCUGGUUAAUACCCGGGUGGGAUGACGGUACCCAAAGAAUAAGCACCGGCUAACUUCGUGCCAGCAGCCGCCGUAA
rnacentral:rRNA from 1 species